rnacentral:rRNA from 1 species
CUACGGGACGCACCAGUAAGGAAUAUUGCGCAAUGGAGGAAACUCUGACGCAGCAACGCCGCGUGGGUGAUGACGCUCUAUGGAGUGUAAAGCCCUGUUAGAAGGGAAGAACAGAUUAUAGUAAAGCUAUAAUUUUGACGGUACCUUCAGAGAAAGCCCCGGCUAACUCCGUGCCAGCAGCCGCGGUAAUACGGGGGGGGCAAGCGUUGUCCGGAAUCACUGGGCGUAAAGGGCGUGUAGGCGGGAUGGUCAGUUAGAGGUGAAAACCUGCGGCUUAACCGUAGGCGUGCCUUUAAUACUGCCAUUCUUGAGUGCGAGAGGGGAAAGUGGAAUUCUUGGUGUAGCGGUGAAAUGCGUAGAUAUCAAGAAGAACACCGGUAGCGAAGGCUGCUUUCUGGCUCGUAACUGACGCUGAGGCGCGAAAGCGUGGGGAGCAAACAGGAUUAGAUACCCCCGUAGUC